rnacentral:misc_RNA from 1 species
GUCUCUUUGGAGCUCACUCACCUCCCUUUCUGGACGAGAUUGAAGCUUCUUCAGCCAUUAUCAUCGGCAAUCCACAGUCCUCACGGCUCACUUCAAACCACCAUGUUCCCUGCCUCAGCGCUUAAUCUCAUCUCUUAGCGCCACUGUAUUGUCCUGCAAAAGCCGAACAUGGGUUUGAACUAAGUAGAUUGAUACCUCAGGAGGAAAGUUAACUUGGCAACUUGAGAAAUGCGCUUAGUUUUAA